CACUCCUGCGGGAGGCAGCAGUGGGGAAUAUUGGACAAUGGGCGCAAGCCUGAUCCAGCCAUGCCGCGUGAGUGAUGAAGGCCCUAGGGUUGUAAAGCUCUUUCACCGGUGAAGAUAAUGACGGUAACCGGAGAAGAAGCCCCGGCUAACUUCGUGCCAGCAGCCGCGGUAAUACGAAGGGGGCUAGCGUUGUUCGGAUUUACUGGGCGUAAAGCGCACGUAGGCGGACUAUUAAGUCAGGGGUGAAAUCCCGGGGCUCAACCCCGGAACUGCCUUUGAUACUGGUAGUCUUGAGUUCGAGAGAGGUGAGUGGAAUUCCGAGUGUAGAGGUGAAAUUCGUAGAUAUUCGGAGGAACACCAGUGGCGAAGGCGACUCACUGGCUCGAUACUGACGCUGAGGUGCGAAAGCGUGGGGAGCAAACAGGAUUAGAAACCCGAGUAGUCCCAUG
rnacentral:rRNA from 1 species